rnacentral:rRNA from 1 species
UACGUAGGGACCAAGCGUUGUUCGGAUUUACUGGGCGUAAAGGGCGCGUAGGCGGCGAUGUAAGUCACUUGUGAAAUCUCUGAGCUUAACUCAGAACGGCCAAGUGAUACUGCAUUGCUAGAGUGCAGAAAGGGCAAUCGGAAUUCUUGGUGUAGCGGUGAAAUGCGUAGAUAUCAAGAGGAACACCUGAGGCGAAGGCGGGUUGCUUGUCUGACACUGACGCUGAGGCGCGAAAGCUAGGGGAGCAAACGGG